UACAGAGGUCCCGAGCGUUGUUCGGAUUCACUGGGCGUAAAGGGCGCGUAGGCGGCGGGGUAAGUCGGGUGUGAAAUCUCAGGGCUCAACCCUGAAACUGCACUCGAUACUGCUCUGCUUGAGGACUGGAGAGGAGACUGGAAUUCACGGUGUAGCAGUGAAAUGCGUAGAGAUCGUGAGGAAGACCAGUGGCGAAGGCGGGUCUCUGGACAGUUCCUGACGCUGAGGCGCGAAGGCCAGGGGAGCAAACGGG
rnacentral:rRNA from 1 species